ACGAACGCUGGCGGCGUGCCUAACACAUGCAAGUCGAGCGGAGACAGUGAGUAGCUUGCUAUGAGCUGUUUUAGCGGCGGACGGGUGAGUAACGCGUGAGCAACCUUUCCCAGACAGGGGAAUAACACACCGAAAGGUGUACUAAUACCGCAUAAGACCACGGAAUCACAUGGUUCUGAGGUAAAAGAUUUAUCGGUUUGGGGUGGGCUCGCGUCCGAUUAGGUAGUUGGUGAGGUAACGGCCCACCAAGCCGACGAUCGGUAGCCGACCUGAGAGGGUGAUCGGCCACAUUGGGACUGAGACACGGCCCAAACUCCUACGGGAGGCAGCAGUGGGGAAUAUUGGGCAAUGGAGGAAACUCUGACCCAGCAACGCCGCGUGGAGGAAGAAGGUUUUCGGAUCGUAAACUCCUGUCCUUGGAGACGAGUAGAAGACGGUAUCCAAGGAGGAAGCCCCGGCUAACUACGUGCCAGCAGCCGCGGUAAUACGUAGGGGGCAAGCGUUGUCCGGAAUAAUUGGGCGUAAAGGGCGCGUAGGCGGCUCGGUAAGUCUGGAGUGAAAGUCCUGCUUUUAAGGUGGGAAUUGCUUUGGAUACUGUCGGGCUUGAGUGCAGGAGAGGUUAGUGGAAUUCCCAGUGUAGCGGUGAAAUGCGUAGAGAUUGGGAGGAACACCAGUGGCGAAGGCGACUAACUGGACUGUAACUGACGCUGAGGCGCGAAAGUGUGGGGAGCAAACAGGAUUAGAUACCCUGGUAGUCCACACUGUAAACGAUGAAUGCUAGGUGUAGGGGGUAUCGACCCCUUCUGUGCCGCAGUCAACACAAUAAGCAUUCCGCCUGGGGAGUACGGCCGCAAGGUUGAAACUCAAAGGAAUUGACGGGGGCCCGCACAAGCAGUGGAGUAUGUGGUUUAAUUCGAAGCAACGCGAAGAACCUUACCAGGUCUUGACAUCCUACUAACGAGAUAGAGAUAUGUUAGGUGCCCUUCGGGGAAAGUAGAGACAGGUGGUGCAUGGUUGUCGUCAGCUCGUGUCGUGAGAUGUUGGGUUAAGUCCCGCAACGAGCGCAACCCUUGCUAUUAGUUGCUACGCAAGAGCACUCUAAUAGGACUGCCGUUGACAAAACGGAGGAAGGUGGGGACGACGUCAAAUCAUCAUGCCCCUUAUGACCUGGGCUACACACGUGCUACAAUGGCCACGACAGAGAGAAGCGAAAUCGUAAGGUAGAGCGGAACUCAAAAAAGUGGUCCCAGUUCGGAUUGUGGGCUGCAACCCGCCCACAUGAAGUCGGAGUUGCUAGUAAUCGCGGAUCAGCAUGCCGCGGUGAAUACGUUCCCGGGCCUUGUACACACCGCCCGUCACACCAUGGGAGUUGGGAGUGCCCAAAGCCGGUGAGGCAACCGCAAGGAGCCAGCCGUCUAAGGCAAGACCAAUGACUGGGGUG
rnacentral:rRNA from 1 species